rnacentral:rRNA from 1 species
GUGAGGAAUAUUGGUCAAUGGGCGGGAGCCUGAACCAGCCAAGUCGCGUGAAGGAAGAAGGAUCUAUGGUUCGUAAACUUCUUUUGCAGGGGAAUAAAGUGCAGGACGUGUCCUGUUUUGUAUGUACCCUGAGAAUAAGGAUCGGCUAACUCCGUGCCAGCAGCCGCGGUAAUACGGAGGAUCCGAGCGUUAUCCGGAUUUAUUGGGUUUAAAGGGUGCGUAGGUGGUUUGAUAAGUCAGCGGUGAAAGUGUGCAGCUUAACUGUAAAAAUGCCGUUGAAACUGUCGGACUUGAGUGUAAAUGAGGUAGGCGGAAUGCGUGGUGUAGCGGUGAAAUGCAUAGAUAUCACGCAGAACUCCGAUUGCGAAGGCAGCUUACUAAGCUACAACUGACACUGAAGCACGAAAGCGUGGGGAUCAAACAGGAUUAGAAACCCGAGUAGUCC